GGAACGUGAUCCUAAGGGAGGGAAAAUUGUACUAUCUUGGGGAAGAAGUAGUAAUUGAAUCGGCUAAGGUUGAUGGCAAGCCUCAAGAUGGAGAGCAAAAAGAGGUUAAAAUUCAGGGCGAGAAAGAUGUAGAAGAUGUGUGGCCGUGUGAAGGAGAUUGUGAAGUGCCUUUGUAAAAGAGGUGAGGUUAUGAAUUUGUGGGCAAAUU
rnacentral:lncRNA from 1 species